AUCAGCAGAGUGUUCCAGCAGCACCAGGCUUUAAAGGAACUGGAAGAACAAGAUCCAGACAGACGUUGUGUUUUACCCUGGAUCAUGUUUAUUCUCAGAGUAAGAGUUUCAGUGCUCACCCAGUGCUGUCCAUGGAUUGGGAAUGCCAUUCCUCUGCAUCCAGGGUAUCCUCCCACUCCUGUUGGACAGUGUCUGCUGCCCAGCAGAAUCACUCAGCUCAGAGGAACAGAGAUGUUGGGAGGAAGGAAAAGUCCCAACACCAGGGCAGAGUGACACUGUUUGCCCCCGAGCUGUGGCAGGGAGGAGCAGCCAGGAAAAACACCAGGAGAGCUUUUUGGAGUCUAUCAUAUCCAGAAGAAUUACUUGAUAACCUGAAUUUCCCAGUGGUUUAUUUAUCUGUGGAAGAACUGGCCUGGAGAGCAGAAGUUCAUCCAGAAGUGUCUGUUUUGCUUGAUGGGACAUUUGCUCCCUCCCAGAGAUGGAAUAUUCUGUCCCCAUUGGAUUCACUGAAGAAAAUGAAAUGCAGAAUGAGCAGGGCAAGGGAAGCUGUGAGGAUAAAAGAUGAGAUAUUUGUUAAUGAGCACCGUGCACAUGUUCCGAGCCUCCCAAUGGGGCCCUAAAAUUUCUCUGAGUGCUUCAGUCAGUGUUCCCUCCUUCCUAGGGAAUAACAAACCCGAAAUCAGGUGGGAAAGGUUCGCCCUGUCCAGGCAGGGCUGUGCCAGAGAUGGAACAUUUGGGUGAGACUGAGAGUGCAGGGCUGGGAUUUCCUUUGUGCAGCACCUCUGUGGCCCCUGCCCACAAAAUGUAUUUUCAAGUGUAUUAUUUAAAAUGUAGUUUUAAAGUACUUAAUUGCCAUGCAGGUUACUAUCCUGUAUGAUAAAAUUCCUGGGUGUUUCUGUUGCCACCAUGUGAAUUUUUGUGUCUGGACUGACAAUCCUGAGGCAGCUGCAGCUUCUGCCUGGUGUACAAAACUCAAAGAGGUGCUCAUCAAUUUUUAAAAAAACAUGAGCUGGCACUGGUUCAGUGAAACAAUUGAAUUGAAUGAAAAUCGUGACAUUGGGAAGCUUAAUUAAAAUAACUGCUGAUAGAAAGUGCUAAGGGAUAAGACCUGGACGUGAUAGUAAUGAAAACAAUGAGAAGUCUGUAAAGAAACUUCCCACCCUGCUGGGCAGUGGCUUUCCCAUGGUCACUGCAGCUCUGGGAGUGUGUCAGUGGAUUUUGGGCUCUGUUUGCUGUGCUGGAAUGUGUUGGGUUGAUGUGACCAGCAAUGUGAAUUCUGUCCCACCUGUU